rnacentral:tRNA from 1 species
GCCAAGGGAUAGCUCAGUUGGUAGAGCGUGAGGCUCUUAAUCUUAGGGUUGUGGGUUUGAGCCCCACGUUGGGCA